rnacentral:rRNA from 1 species
UUUUGUAGAAUGAACCGGCGAGUUACGAUUUGAUGCAAGGUUAAGCAGUAAAUGUGGAGCCGUAGCGAAAGCGAGUCUGAAUAGGGCGUUUAGUAUUUGGUCGUAGACCCGAAACCAGGUGAUCUACCCUUGGUCAGGUUGAAGUUCAGGUAACACUGAAUGGAGGACCGAACCGACUUACGUUGAAAAGUGAGCGGAUGAACUGAGGGUAGCGGAGAAAUUCCAAUCGAACCUGGAGAUAGCUGGUUCUCUCCGAAAUAGCUUUAGGGCUAGCCUCAAGUGAUGAUUAUUGGAGGUAGAGCACUGUUUGGACGAGGGGCCCCUCUCGGGUUACCGAAUUCAGACAAACUCCGAAUGCCAAUUAAUUUAACUUGGGAGUCAGAACAUGGGUGAUAAGGUCCGUGUUCGAAAGGGAAACAGCCCAGACCACCAGCUAAGGUCCCAAAAUAUAUGUUAAGUGGAAAAGGAUGUGGCGUUGCCCAGACAACUAGGAUGUUGGCUUAGAAGCAGCCAUCAUUUAAAGAGUGCGUAAUAGCUCACUAGUCGAGUGACACUGCGCCGAAAAUGUACCGGGGCUAAACAUAUUACCGAAGCUGUGGAUUGUCCUUUGGACAAUGGUAGGAGAGCGUUCUAAGGGCGUUGAAGCAUGAUCGUAAGGACAUGUGGAGCGCUUAGAAGUGAGAAUGCCGGUGUGAGUAGCGAAAGACGGGUGAGAAUCCCGUCCACCGAUUGACUAAGGUUUCCAGAGGAAGGCUCGUCCGCUCUGGGUUAGUCGGGUCCUAAGCUGAGGCCGACAGGCGUAGGCGAUGGAUAACAGGUUGAUAUUCCUGUACCACCUAUAAUCGUUUUAAUCGAUGGGGGGACGCAGUAGGAUAGGCGAAGCGUGCGAUUGGAUUGCACGUCUAAGCAGUAAGGCUGAGUAUUAGGCAAAUCCGGUACUCGUUAAGGCUGAGCUGUGAUGGGGAGAAGACAUUGUGUCUUCGAGUCGUUGAUUUCACACUGCCGAGAAAAGCCUCUAGAUAGAAAAUAGGUGCCCGUACCGCAAACCGACACAGGUAGUCAAGAUGAGAAUUCUAAGGUGAGCGAGCGAACUCUCGUUAAGGAACUCGGCAAAAUGACCCCGUAACUUCGGGAGAAGGGGUGCUCUUUAGGGUUAACGCCCAGAAGAGCCGCAGUGAAUAGGCCCAAGCGACUGUUUAUCAAAAACACAGGUCUCUGCUAAACCGUAAGGUGAUGUAUAGGGGCUGACGCCUGCCCGGUGCUGGAAGGUUAAGAGGAGUGGUUAGCUUCUGCGAAGCUACGAAUCGAAGCCCCAGUAAACGGCGGCCGUAACUAUAACGGUCCUAAGGUAGCGAAAUUCCUUGUCGGGUAAGUUCCGACCCGCACGAAAGGCGUAACGAUUUGGGCACUGUCUCAACGAGAGACUCGGUGAAAUCAUAGUACCUGUGAAGAUGCAGGUUACCCGCGACAGGACGGAAAGACCCCGUGGAGCUUUACUGUAGCCUGAUAUUGAAAUUCGGCACAGCUUGUACAGGAUAGGUAGGAGCCUUUGAAACGUGAGCGCUAGCUUACGUGGAGGCGCUGGUGGGAUACUACCCUAGCUGUGUUGGCUUUCUAACCCGCACCACUUAUCGUGGUGGGAGACAGUGUCAGGCGGGCAGUUUGACUGGGGCGGUCGCCUCCUAAAAGGUAACGGAGGCGCUCAAAGGUUCCCUCAGAAUGGUUGGAAAUCAUUCAUAGAGUGUAAAGGCAUAAGGGAGCUUGACUGCGAGACCUACAAGUCGAGCAGGGUCGAAAGACGGACUUAGUGAUCCGGUGGUUCCGCAUGGAAGGGCCAUCGCUCAACGGAUAAAAGCUACCCCGGGGAUAACAGG